UGGAACGGACGCGAUCAGUGGGACUCCCUGUGGCUGAGGUAGAGCUGACGAGUGCAGCAUCAGGGGCGCACUAUCAACAUGAAAUACAAACUGGGACCUUUCUUAAAUACCCACACAUCCAGUGAAAGCGUGAAAGUUAUCUGGCUCUGCUGUUCCAGUUGAACUGUAGCAUUUUCCUGUCGCUGGUCAGUGUACGAUAGAUACCUAAGGCUGCAGAAUGGACAGAGAAGAGUAUGUGCAGGAGGGUUCAGCCUGCAGUGGAAGGGAGAGAAUUCAAUCAAGGGAGUUCCAGGACAGAACAGUUCAUCCAUCCUAACCUGUCUCUCAAGAAACCAGGGAAGCAGAUUAUGGUGCAACAACCUACUGAGCAUUUCAGCAUUUUCCAGUUUGACUUUGGAAGAGAGUGGGCUGCAUUGGCCUGAAGAGCAGAGUGACAUUCGAAUUGAAUGGGGUGGUAUUGGCUGGGAACCUGUCUUGCUUUUACUGUGAAGUUUCCUGAUCCUCUUCUGUUAUUGGCUGUAAGAGUCAAGUGGAAAUGCCAUUGAUGUUAACACAUCACAGCUGGAGAUAUUCCUAAUAUGCAAUGUAUAUACAGAUUACAAACCAUACCAAUGGUCAUUGUGCAAGGUGGCACGGUGG